GCCCGCCUAGCUCAAUCGGAUAGAGCGUCAGACUCUUAUUCAGGUCCUAUGGUGCUGUUUAUCUGAAGGCUGCGAGUUCGACCCUCGCGGUGGGCU